rnacentral:rRNA from 1 species
AGAUUGAACGCUGGCGGCAUGCCUUACACAUGCAAGUCGAACGGCAGCACGGGGGCAACCCUGGUGGCGAGUGGCGAACGGGUGAGUAAUACAUCGGAACGUGUCCUGUCGUGGGGGAUAACCAGUCGAAAGACUGGCUAAUACCGCAUGAGAUCGAGAGAUGAAAGCGAGGGGACCGCAAGGCCUUGCGCGAUUGGAGCGGCCGAUGUCGGAUUAGCUAGUUGGUGGGGUAAAAGCCCACCAAGGCGACGAUCCGUAGCUGGUUUGGAGAACGACAGCCACACUGGACUGAGACACGGCCCAGACUCCGUACGGGAGGCAGCAGUGGGAAUUUGGACAAGUGGGGACACCUGAUCAGCAUGCCGCGUGUGUAGAAGAAGGUCCGUUACGGGUGUAAAGCGUAUUCGGACGGAACG